rnacentral:sRNA from 1 species
UACAUGGUGUUCCCUGUCACAGUGGUGAA